GACGAACGCUGGCGGCGUGCCUAAUACAUGCAAGUCGAACGAAGCUGUUUUAACUGGUGCUUGCACCGACUUAAACAACUGAGUGGCGAACGGGUGAGUAACACGUGGGUAACCUGCCCCAAAGCGGGGGAUAACAUUUGGAAACAGAUGCUAAUACCGCAUAACCACAGAAACCACAUGGUUUCUGUGUCAAAGAUGGUUUCGGCUAUCACUUUGGGAUGGACCCGCGGCGUAUUAGCUAGUUGGUAAGGUAAUGGCUUACCAAGGCAAUGAUACGUAGCCGAACUGAGAGGUUGAGCGGCCACAUUGGGACUGAGACACGGCCCAAACUCCUACUGGAGGCAGCAGGAGGGAAGCUUCCACAAUGGACGAAAGUCUGAUGGAGCAACGCCGCGUGAGUGAAGAAGGUUUUCGGAUCGUAAAACUCUGUUGUCAGAGAAGAACGUGUGCGAGAGUAACUGCUCGUGCAGUGACGGUAUCUGGCCAGAAAGCCACGGCUAACUACGUGCCAGCAGCCGCGGUAA
rnacentral:rRNA from 1 species